rnacentral:rRNA from 1 species
UAACUGAAUACAUAGGUUAACAGAGCAAACCGGGGGAACUGAAACAUCUAAGUACCCCGAGGAGAAGAAAUCAACCGAGAUUCCGGUAGUAGCGGCGAGCGAACCUGGAUUAGCCCUUAAGCACUCGGUGAAGUAGGUGAACAAGCUGGAAAGCUUGGCGAUACAGGGUGAUAGCCCCGUAACCGACGCUUCAUCGAGCGUGAAAUCGAGUAGGGCGGGACACGUGAUAUCCUGUCUGAAUAUGGGGGGACCAUCCUCCAAGGCUAAAUACUCCUGACUGACCGAUAGUGAACCAGUACCGUGAGGGAAAGGCGAAAAGAACCCCUGUGAGGGGAGUGAAAUAGAACCUGAAACCGUGUACGUACAAGCAGUAGGAGCACCUUCGUGGUGUGACUGCGUACCUUUUGUAUAAUGGGUCAGCGACUUAUAUUCAGUGGCAAGGUUAACCGUAUAGGGGAGCCGUAGCGAAAGCGAGUCUUAACUGGGCGCUCAGUCUCUGGAUAUAGACCCGAAACCGGGUGAUCUAGCCAUGGGCAGGUUGAAGGUUGAGUAACAUCAACUGGAGGACCGAACCGACUAAUGUUGAAAAAUUAGCGGAUGACUUGUGGCUAGGGGUGAAAGGCCAAUCAAACUCGGAGAUAGCUGGUUCUCCCCGAAAGCUAUUUAGGUAGCGCCUCGGACGAAUACUACUGGGGGUAGAGCACUGUUAAGGCUAGGGGGUCAUCCCGACUUACCAACCCUUUGCAAACUCCGAAUACCAGUAAGUACUAUCCGGGAGACACACGGCGGGUGCUAACGUCCGUCGUGGAGAGGGAAACAACCCAGACCGCCAGCUAAGGUCCCAAAGUAUUGCUAAGUGGGAAACGAUGUGGGAAGGCUCAGACAGCUAGGAUGUUGGCUUAGAAGCAGCCAUCAUUUAAAGAAAGCGUAAUAGCUCACUAGUCGAGUCGGCCUGCGCGGAAGAUGUAACGGGGCUAAGCAAUACACCGAAGCUGCGGCAAUAUCUUUUAGAUAUUGGGUAGGGGAGCGUUCUGUAAGCCGUUGAAGGUGAAUCGUAAGGUUUGCUGGAGGUAUCAGAAGUGCGAAUGCUGACAUGAGUAACGACAAAGGGGGUGAAAAACCUCCUCGCCGGAAGACCAAGGGUUCCUGUCCAACGUUAAUCGGGGCAGGGUGAGUCGACCCCUAAGGUGAGGCCGAAAGGCGUAAUCGAUGGGAAACGGGUUAAUAUUCCCGUACUUCUGACUAUUGCGAUGGGGGGACGGAGAAGGCUAGGUGGGCCAGGCGACGGUUGUCCUGGUUCAAGUGCGUAGGCUUGAGAGUUAGGUAAAUCCGGCUCUCUCUAAGGCUGAGACACGACGUCGAGCUGCUACGGCAGUGAAGUCAUUGAUGCCAUGCUUCCAGGAAAAGCCUCUAAGCUUCAGAUAGUCAGGAAUCGUACCCCAAACCGACACAGGUGGUCGGGUAGAGAAUACCAAGGCGCUUGAGAGAACUCGGGUGAAGGAACUAGGCAAAAUGGUACCGUAACUUCGGGAGAAGGUACGCUCUUGAUGGUGAAGUCCCUCGCGGAUGGAGCUGACGAGAGUCGCAGAUACCAGGUGGCUGCAACUGUUUAUUAAAAACACAGCACUGUGCAAAAUCGCAAGAUGACGUAUACGGUGUGACGCCUGCCCGGUGCCGGAA